AUUGAACGCUGGCGGCAGGCCUAACACAUGCAAGUCGAGCGGAGCGGCGGACGGGUGAGUAAUGCCUAGGAAUCUGCCUGGUAGUGGGGGAGAACGUCCGGAAACGGGCGCUAAUACCGCAUACUAUCAGAUGAGCCUAGGUCGGCUUAGCUAGUUGGUGGGGUAAAGGCCUACCAAGGCGACGAUCCGUAACUGGUCUGAGAGGAUGAUCAGUCACAAGUGAAAUGAGACACGGUCCAUACUCCUACGUGAGGCAGCAGGGGGGAAUAUUGGACAAUGGGGGAACGCCGGAUCCAGCCAUGCCGCUAGUGUGAAGAAGGUCUUCGGAUUGUAAAGCACUUUAACUUGGGAGGCGAUACCCACACAAUAAGCAUCGGCUAACUUCGUGCCAUCAGCCGCGGUAAUAC
rnacentral:rRNA from 1 species